rnacentral:rRNA from 1 species
GAUGAACGCUGGCGGCGUGCCUAAUACAUGCAAGUCGAGCGAACAGACGAGGAGCUUGCUCCUCUGACGUUAGCGGCGGACGGGUGAGUAACACGUGGAUACCCUACCUAUAAGACUGGGAUAACUUCGGGACACCGGAGCUAAUACCGGCUAUUCUAUUCAACCGCAUGGUUCACUAGUGAAAGACGGUUUUGCUUUAACUUCUAGCUGGAUCCGCGCCGCAUUGGCUAGUUGGUACGGUAACGGCUUCCCAAGGCAACGAUGCGUAGCCGACCUGAGAGGAUGGUAGGCCACACUGGAGGUGAGACACGGUCCAGGCUCCUAAGGGAGGCAGCAGUAGGGAAUCGGCCGCAAUGGGAGAGAGUCUGACGGAGCCACGGCGCGCGGGUGAUGAAGGUUUGCGGAUCGUGAAACUCUGUUAUUAGGGAAGAACAAAUGUGGAAGUACCUAUGCGCGUCUUGACGGUACCUAAUGAGAAAGCCACGGCUAACUACGUG